rnacentral:rRNA from 1 species
GAAGAGAGAGUUCAAGAGUACGUGAAACCAUUAGAAGCUGAAACGGGUGGAACCGUGAAGGUGGAAAGAGGGGAUUCAGGCUGUUGGCACUUGCAUUUGUAUGCGGGUAAUGUGGACCUGGGUGACUAGUGAAUUGUCCGGGCACCCGUGUACUUAUGUUUGUUGUGAGCAGGCUUAUUUCUCCCUCGAGUACUUAUUGUGGCGACCCGCUGGUCGGACCCCGAGGUGCCUGAAGGACUGGUAGCCUAGACCGUUUGGUUUGGGUGAUGACCUUUUUGGUUUACUGAGUGGGUUUGACGGGCGGUCACUGUGAGGAAGCAGCGAUCGAUCCCGGUCGAUUGUUUCUCGCCAUGUGAGAGGUAUCGGUAAUCCACCCGACCCGUCUUGAAACACGGACCAAGGAGUCCAACAUGUGCGCGAGUCUAAGGGUUGAAUAAACCUGGAGGCGAAAUGAAAGUGAGUCCCUUUAUUGGGGCAGGCCGAUCCCUCGUCGUGAUUUGGGCUGUCAAGUUACAAUUACCACUGGCAGCAGUGCUGGUGUGUCAGUUGUUGACGGAUCAGUUUUGAAUUGCGGCGGCCGUCUCCUCAUCCGAGAUGGUAUUAGGGCGCAGGCCGAGGACUUGUCUAUAUGCGGAGCGGGCAACGGGUUUCUCCCUUUCGGGGGGGUUUCCUUAUCCCGAUUUCCGUUGGCAAGUACCUGAGAGCGCAGCCGUUGGGACCCGAAAGAUGGUGAACUAUGCCUGGCGAGGACGAAGCCAGAGGAAACUCUGGUGGAGGUCCGAAGCAGUUCUGACGUGCAAAUCGAUUGUCAGAGCUGGGUAUAGGGGCGAAAGACUAAUCGAACCAUCUAGUAGCUGGUUCCCUCCGAAGUUUCCCUCAGGAUAGCUGGCAUUAAUUGUUAGAGUUUCAUCCGGUAAAGCGAAUGAUUAGAGGCCUUGGUGGUGCAAUGCCGUCAACCUAUUCUCAAACUUUAAAUGGGUGAGAUGUAGAGCUUGCUUGAGACGUGAAGCUCUAUGUGAGAGAGAGAAUCUUGAUGCCUAGUGGGCCACUUUUGGUAAGCAGAACUGGCGCUG